AAAAUUCAAAAAUUAACGGAUUGGUUUC
rnacentral:sRNA from 1 species